UCCUAGAAGCAGUGCUUAUGGGAGCUCCCGAGACCAGUGUGAGCACUGCUGGUCUCCAGUCGCCUUCCCAGCACUGCAAGUGGAAGACGCGUGGAGGAGGAAGAGGAGGGGGGGAGUAUCUGUCCCCGUGCCCUAGGCAGGAGAAAGGGAAAACGGGAGAGGAAAGGGGAGAGAAAGAAGGAGAGAAAGUGAGAAGGAGCAUGUCAGAGAUGCAGAGUGUGAUAAUAAAGGGACGAGAGAGAGAGAGAGAGACAUGAGAAGAUGAGGCCAGGAGAGAAAAAUAUAAAAAAAAAAGCCAAGAGUAGAAAAAAAGAGAGCGAAAGCAGGGUGGCACAGGGAGAAGAGCAAAUUAGUGAGCGAAUAGGAGACGAAGAGAGAGAGUGAGCGAGAGCGAGCGAGAGGGAGGGAGGCGAACAACACUGCAGACACUCGCCCACUGUCACUGCUCCACAGCCAGAGGACAGAGGCAGCAACGGCAACAGUGGAAGCGGAUACGAUGGAGGAGGAAGACUGAACCAUCCAUCUGCAGCUCAGUCCCCGUCACUAAAAGCCUUCCUCUGGGACCAUCCUGCCAAGUUGGGAGCAAAACAAAAAAGGAGAAAACUACUCUCUCUGUCCUUCACGAGACCAAGUACUGGACCUUAACUCCUGCAAGACUGACACCACACACACACCUCAUUAUUUUUCCCCUCGCUUACACUCACAUACACUUACUCACAACCUCACUAUCUCAAACUGAAGCACACUCCACUUCUUGUUGCCUUUUGGACUAGUGUGUUUUUUGUUUUUGUUUUCUACACUGCCUUCGCUGACCUGAGCUGAGUGGAUUUACUUUUAUCCUGUGGCGGACCAUGGGGCUAGGGUGGAGGGGUGCAGCAGGGACCCUCCGAAUAAGGACAGAGGGGAGCUGGUACCUUUUGGUGACAUUGCUGCUGUUCUGUGGUUUCUGGGAGGCUCACACACAGACAGAUGAUGGGAAGUCUGUCUACUUCUGGGAAACAGGUCCAUGGGGAAGAUGCAUGGGCAGCGACUGUGGCCCGGGUGGCAGCCAAAGCCGGGCAGUCUGGUGUGCCCAUGUGGAAGGCUGGACAACGCUUCACACCAACUGUGACCAGGGCCAGCGUCCUUCCAACCAGAGGAACUGUUUCCGUGUGUGUGACUGGCACAAGGACCUUUAUGACUGGCAAUUGGGUGCCUGGAAUGUGUGCGUGCCAGUUUCAGCAAGGACCUUAUGGGCCUCACGGCCGUUCACAUGCAGUGGAGGCGAAGAGGGCAUUCAGACCCGGGAGGUGGGCUGCAUACUCAAAUCAGACGGGUCUCCAGCAGAGGAUGCCAUCUGUGAGUACUUUGAGCCCAAGCCUCGCCUGGAGCAGGCAUGUUUGAUCCCUUGCCCUCAGGAUUGUGUGGUUUCCGAGUAUUCUCCAUGGACAUCCUGCUCCAAAACGUGUGGAACAGGCCUCAGGAACAGGGUCCGUAGUGUCCUGGUUCCUCCACUUUUUGGAGGCGCGGUUUGUCCCAACCUAACUGAGUUCCAGUCUUGUAAACCAGGGCCUUGCACAGGUCCAGAGGGCAUGUACAAUCUCAGGGUUGGACCGUGGAGCCCUUGUGCCCUCCCACAGACUCGGACGGCACGCCAAGUUAAGCGCCGGAAAGGUAAAGGCCAGGGGCUCAGGGAGAGAGCAGGAGUCAAAGAUCCAGAGACUAGGGAGCUUAUCCAGAAGAAACGAACCCGGAACCGCCUUAACCGGCAAGAGAGUCCAUUCUGGGACAUCCAGGUUGGCUACCAGACUCGGGACGUGACCUGCGUACACCGGAAUGGGAGCGCUGUGGGACGCAACCUGUGUGCACCGAGGGACCUGCCGCUGACCAUCCAGUCCUGCGUCCUCCCCAAGGACUGCCAGGUGACCGACUGGGCCGUGUGGAGCCCCUGUUCCAAAACCUGCGUGGACCCUGAGUCUCCCAUAGGCAAUCGCACUCGGAGCAGGAAGGUGGUCCAGUUCCCGGUGGGCGAGGGGGCGGAGUGCACGCCGCUGGAGGAGUCUGAGACGUGUGAACCUCAGGGUGAAGGCGUGCCGCCCUGCGCCACCUACACCUGGAGAAGCACAGAGUGGAGCGACUGCCGGGUCGACCCGUUGCUAAGCCAACAGGACCGUCGGCGUAGCAACCUGACAGGGCUCUGUGGGGGAGGCCUGCAGACCAGGGAAAUUUAUUGCGUCCAGGCCAACGCUGAGCUUCUAAAAUACCUCAACGACCUCAGAGAAAAAGACAAAGCAGGUCAGACCCAAAGACAGCAGAAGCCUAGUGUCCCCCCUCUCCUCUCCAUCACCUUCCAGAUUACAGCCUCCCGCCCCGUGGAAAACAAGCUGUGCAAGGGUCCGAUCCCCAACAGGUCCCAGCUGUGCCAAAUCCCCUGUCCCAUCGACUGUGAGGUGUCGCCGUGGGGCGCCUGGGGCCCCUGCACCUUCGAAAACUGUGAUGACCAGGCUGGAAAGAAAGGUUUCAAACUGAGAAAACGACAGGUAACCAACGAGCCAACCGGAGGGCCUGGAAACUGCCCGCACCUGGUGGAGGCGGUGCCGUGCGACGAGCCCACUUGUUACAACUGGCAACUGGUCGACCUGGAUCAGUGUGUUCCUGACGAUGAGAAGCCGUGUGGCCCCGGCACUCAGCUCGUACAGGUCCAGUGUGUCAACAGCAACGGAGAGGAGGUGGACAGGAAUCUCUGCAUGUCUUACCCAGCUCCAGAGCCUGUGCCGUGUGAAGUGCCUUGCUCAAGGGACUGCGUGCUCAGUGAUUGGACAGCCUGGUCUACUUGCUCUCAGACCUGCUCCAGUAAGACCAUCGAGGGGAAGCAGAUGAGGACCCGCUCCAUUCUGGCCUACAACGCCGGGGAAGUCACUUCGAUGGUUGUGGCGUGGAUCACAGUGAUGGAGGGUCUUUCACAGGUGCCAAAGUUUCCGGAACUUUUUGGUGGAGCCCUUUGCCCAAACAGCAGUGCCCUCCAGGAGGUACGGAACUGUAACGAACACGCCUGUACAGUUUACCACUGGCAGACGGGGCCUUGGGGCCCUUGUACCGAAGACCCCUCUGCCUCGACCCUAAACACCUCCAGCGGUGACGGCCAGGGUCCCUGCUCCAUGGGAAUGCAAACUCGUAAGGUCAUCUGUGUCCGGGUCAACGUGGGACAGGUGCCACCCAAGAAGUGUCCAGACGGCCCUCGCCCCAGCACGGUGCGACCAUGUCAGCUGCCCUGCAAGAAAGACUGUAUCAUGACCCCUUUCAGUGACUGGACACCGUGUCCUGUUACUUGUGACGCAGCUGGUAACGCUGUGAAGAGUAAGCAAUCAAGGAAACGCCUCAUCAUCCAGCUGCCAUCCAACGGAGGACAGGACUGUCCAGAGGUGCUGGAGGAGGAGAGGGACUGUGAGAUUGCCAAAAUCUGUCCAGGAUUCAGGUGGAAAACCCACAAAUGGAGGAAGUGCCAGCUGGUCCCGUGGUUCCUCAGAAAGGAACGUCCCGGUGCGCAGGAGACCUGUGGACCAGGACUCCAAACACGAGCUGUGUCCUGUCGCCAGCUGGACGGGACGCAGGCCGACGUCAGCGAGUGUCUGAAAUUCGGCAAAGCCAUGCCUGCCAUCACUCAGCGCUGUCAGCUCCCCUGCCAGGAUGACUGCCAGCUGACCAACUGGUCCAAGUUCUCAUCCUGCACAGCUGACUGUGUGGGGGUCCGCACCAGAAAGAGGGCUUUGAUAGGGAGGAGCAAGAAGAAAGACAAGUGCAAGAACACACAAAUGUAUCCUUUGAGUGAGACCCAGUACUGCCCUUGUGACAAGUAUAACGCCCAGCCAGUGGGGAACUGGUCAGACUGCAUCCUGCCUGAGGGAGGCAGAGUGGAGAGCAUCCUGGGGAUGAAGGUCCAGGGAGACAUCAAGGAGUGUGGACAGGGCUACCGCUACCAGGCCAUGGUGUGCUACGACCAGGACAGCAGGCUGGUGGAGACCUCGCGCUGCAACAGUCACGGUUAUAUUGAGGAGGCAUGCAUCAUCCCCUGUCCCUCAGACUGUAAACUCAGUGAAUGGUCCAACUGGUCACGUUGCAGCAAGUCCUGCGGCAGCGGGGUCAAAGUUCGCUCCAAAUGGCUUCGAGAGAAACCUUACAACGGUGGCCGGCCGUGUCCCAAACUGGACCACAUCAACCAGGCCCAGGUGUAUGAGGUGGUGCCGUGUCAGAGCGACUGUAAUCAGUAUGUGUGGGUGGCCGAGCCAUGGAGUGUGUGGAAAGUCAGUAACGUGGACUUAAAAGAGAACUGCGGCGAAGGUGUCCAGACCAGAAAAGUCAGGUGCAUGCUCAACACUAUAGACGGGCCGUCGGAGUCUGUGGAGGACUACCUGUGUGACCCGGAGGAGAUGCCCCUGGGGGCCAGGGAGAGCCGGCUGCCCUGCCCCGAGGACUGCGUCCUCAAUGACUGGGGCCCCUGGAGCCGCUGCAGCCUGCCAUGUACCAGAACCAACAAUCGAGUGCGGACGGCAUACACCCUCAGGUCGCCCACUGUAGGGAGGCAGUGUCCAGACACGACUGACAGGGAGCCUUGCAGCCUAAACCUCAACUGUUUCAACUACUUCUACAACAUCACAGACUGGAGUACAUGUCAGCUGAGUCCUAACGCUGUGUGCGGAAGCGGCAUCAAGACCCGGAUGCUCGACUGUGUUCGCAGCGACGGCAAAUCAGUCGAUAUAAAGUUCUGUGAGGAGUUGAAUUUGGAGAAAAGGUGGCAGAUGAACAUCUCCUGUGUGGUCGAGUGUCCCGUCAACUGUCAUCUGUCGGAGUGGUCGGCCUGGUCAGACUGUUCACAGACGUGCGGACUAGAAGGUAAGAUGUGGCGGCAGCGGUCAGUGGUCCAGGCCUCUCAGGGCGACGGCCGGCCCUGCCCUUCUCAGAUGGAGCAGUGGAAGCCCUGCCCUGUCCGACCCUGCUACCGCUGGAAGUACAGCCCCUGGUCCGAGUGUCGGGUGGAGAGUGUGGUGUGUGGACACGGCAUACGCUACAGAAACCUGUCCUGCUUUGUGUCGGACGGCUCCAGCAACGGUGAAGGCAGCUUGGUGGACGAGGAGCUGUGCAGCAGCCUGGAGGUGGCUAUCGAUGGAGACAAGCAGAUCAACCUGAAAGAGGCCUGUACACUUCCCUGCCCAGGUGAAUGCUACCUAAUGGAGUGGUCAGACUGGAGCUCGUGUGUGAGCGUGUGCAUCAAGGGCGCCGACAUGGACUUUGGUUCAGUUCAAGUUCGCUCACGAGCCGUGUUGGCGCAGGAGCCUGAAAACUUGCAGCUCUGUCCUGACCAGGCUUGGGAGUCUCAGCCCUGCACAGGGGGCGAAUGUUACGAGUACAAAUGGUUCAGCAACGUUCGUCUGAACUCCACACGCUCUACUAUCUGGUGUCAGCGCUCAGAUGGACUCAAUGUCACCGGAGGUUGUCCUGCUAUGAACCCUCCAGUGGACAACAGCUCCUGUGACCCUCCCUGUUUCAUGCCAAAGUCUUUCUGCAAUGAGGCUGGUAUAUGCAUGUGCGAGGAGGGAUUCACAGAGGUGCUGUCACCCACUGGACAGCUGGACCAGUGUGCCCCCAUCCCGAUCCUGGAGAUCCCCACAGCGGGUGACAAGAAAGGGGAUGUGAAGACCAGUCGUGCCAUUAACCCCACCCUGCCCACCACCAUCCAGCCUGGACGCACUGGCCGGACCUGGUACCUGCAGCCCUACGGACCAGAUGGGAAGCUGAAGAUGUGGGUGUAUGGUGUAGCAGCCGGAGCCUUUGUGCUCCUCAUAUUCAUAGUGUCUAUGAUAUACCUAGCUUGCAGCUACUGUGCCAAGGUGCAUCGCUCUCUUAAGGCCCAAGAGUCUGACGCCAAUGGGACGGCAGUCUGGAUGGGCCAAAAUGCACAUGAGAUGAUUUACACCUGUCCCGAUUGCCAAGAGCUGGCUCAAAGCAGCAGCAGCUAAUGAGGAUGUGGAGGGCUUACCCCCCCUCAACACACCCUACAGAAUAAGUACCUGCAGUCCUUGAUCUUUCCCUGAGACCUCUCUCUAAAGUGUCACACGUCCUGCCUGACUAGCUGAGUGAAGGUGAUGGCGCAGCAAAAAGCCAAAGAGACCUCAGAGACAGAGGCAACAAAACAACCGACUAAAACCUCUGACUCUCGCCUACGACGGGGACACGGACAUGUAGUCCUCCGGAGACGCUUCACCGAGCACUUCACCUGUCAUAGAGACCCACUUCAUCACGCCAUUACAGUGAGGGAUACGGAUGUUUGCAGCGUGAAUGGACACGUCACAGAGCGGAGAAAUUACAGAAAAUCCUCUUAGCAGAGACACUGGUGGAGUUUAACCAUGUCAAGUAGAGCUCCAUUCACUCCCUUCUUUAAAAAAAAAAAAUGUUUUUAAGUAUUUUCUUUUGCAAGAGCCUUCGUGACUUCCACCAUGAUCAAUGAAAUGCCUUUUUUUGCCCCCUACACAUCCAUAUUACUUUAAAGAAAAGAUUCAGAUACAGGAGAGUCUGGUGCAGGAGACAGACAGGCCCAGCUCUCAGUCUGCUUCUGAACAUGGCAGCACAAGCUCCAACUCUUCCCCCGCGCUUUUCCGCUUGUCCCUAAAAAAUGCUGAGUAGCUCGAGGCUUAGGAUGCUCUGACGGUUCGUAUGUUGCCAAAAGUCACCGCAGGGAAGAGGAGGAGGGAGAGGAAAAUCUCCAUAAAGAGGUUUGGAUUCCUUUUUCUCAAUCCUCAACUGGGUUUUGACUCAAAUCUCUUUUACAGUUUUGAACAAAAGUGAGGCAUAUUUUCUCUUCUUUUUUUGCUUGAUUUAGAGGCACACAGGCCUGUGUUUGUGGGAUAAACAGAUCUGUACGAUGCUGAUGGAGGAGUAGUCUGCAAUCAGUUGUUCAUGGAAACUACUGGCUGCCUGCCUCCACCCUGUCUUGUUUCAGGCUCUACAUUGCACUAUAUUAGUGCAGCAUGAUAUGCAUAUGUGACUUCUACCUUCUAUUGCCAUAAAACACUGCCUCUCCCACAGACUAAACCAUAAAGCAGAGGAACAGCUACCGGAACGCGGAAACAUUCAAAGGAAAACGAAAACGAGGAAAAAGAUGCUUAGAUGUGUCACAUUCUACAAAACCGAUGUGAAUCUCAAGUAAAUAUAUGUAUAGAUUUUUUGGUUGUAGUAAAGUACCUUUUGUGGUUUGUAGAUUUCGUCUGGUGUUAUCACUUUUAUUUCUGCCCAGAUGCAUUUAAAAAUUUAACUAUAAUAUCAACAGGUGACAUCUUUUAAUUAAUCACCUGCUUUACAAUUCUUUUUAACCAUUAAAAAAAAAUCAGAUUUAAUUAAAAUUAUUUACAUUUUUACCUACAGUGCUACAUUGUGGGAAAGCUGACCAUUUAAAGUGAUUAAAGAAAAGAAAGAACAAUAAAUGUAAACCAUUCAUGUCAUGCAAAUGUCAUUUCUGCCUUACUGACGAUAACUGAAUACUAACAGUCCUGUAAUAGAGUUUUUAUUACUUGAAUGGGGCACAUUAUAGGCUACACUAAACGUAGACAUGAAGAAGACUAACAUUUCUUUUGAGGUCACUAAGCAAGGCAUACUUCAGAGUUUUUAAAACUUUUUCAUGUAGUAAUCCAUAUCAUAGGAGCUCUAUCGUUUUUCAGUCACUACAUGAGGUGAAAUAUAGUUAAAAAAAAAAACAAUCUGUACAAAGAAAUUAUACAACAUGUUAAUAAUAAUAAUAAGAGAACACGCUUCUGCUGAGUUCAACGUAAAAGCAAACUGGAGUGGAGAAUGUUUACUUUUUUGUUGUGGGAUUUGUAAAUAACAGGGAUUUUUUUAUUUUUUUGGAAAAAAAAAUAUUACAGUAUGUGUACAUUUAUUUUGUAUUGCACAGAAAAUGUUUAGUUUGAAUAUUGCAAAGUGUGUGUGUGAUAUUGCUGAUUGUUGUAAUCAUGAUGCAAGUUGUAUGUUAUGAAAAAAAGAAAAAAAAGAAUCAGAAAAAGACGAAAAAGGCUCAGCCGUUUUGUACAGGUUGUUUAUAUGUAUGGGACGAAUUACUGAAAAUAAAUAAGGACACGGUUGUAAACACACAAAAAA